GAUCAUCAGUCAGCACAUGUCAGUGCUCAGUUUUAAUUCAUGGAUUAACAUUUAAACGUACUCGUAUGUCAAAAAUCGUGGUCUACACUUAACAGUGUUAAAUCUCCAAUGUUCGUUUUACAUUAUAUAUUUUCUAUGAUUUGAACUCAAUAUUUUUAAGCACUCUACUUACUUGUGAGGUGUGGUAUUUAUUGACGUUCAUACCAGUGAAUUUGAAAUUUCUACUUCGCGUUUUAAAAUUCAAACAAAUUGCGCUACGUGGACUCAUUCUGUUUGAUGGUUGUGAUAAAAUCUUUAUUUAAUCACGACAAUGAUGAAGUAUGGCUAAGUGUUCUAAAAGUUCUCAAGAUAUAAAUCAUUUUAUUUAGUAUCCUAGUGAAUUAUUAAGUAUUGAUGAAGAAUAACAUUACUAAGGUCAUAUUUUAAAAUGGAUAAUAUACUUCAA